AAAGCCAUGUUGAGACUGGGAUCAGUGCAAAACGCCGCUGCUUGCUCCGCCGCAUUUCGAGUAUCUAGCCUCGCUAUUAGGACAUAGAAAGUCUUUUCUGGAUCCAAAAUGUGCAUUCGUAAGAGAUAAACGAGAAAAACGGUGAAAAUAUGUACAUUUCUAUACAUUUCCGUGUCAAUUUCAAGCGCAGGCUUUCGCAGCCCUCUAUGAUUAUACCCAUGGCCAAACACAUUUGGUUUACUACGCAGUAACCAACGAACGAAACAGACAGAACGUCAUUUGAAUUAUAUUAGGUUUUAAUGAAGAAAGGUAUGUAUACAGACAAUUAUUAAUUAAAAUGGAUUUUUUUAAAUAAACUAUGAAACUUUUGUAAAUUGUAAUCAAAUUAAUGAAUAUUUGUGAAUUGCUUAUCUAUCAUAACACGAAGGUAACGUUUUAAAAGCAUAACAUUAUAUUGGUUUAUAAAUGGUGUAUUUUUACAUAUAUAUUAUUAUUAUUAUUAUUAUUAUUAUUAUAUGUAUUAAUAUUAUAAAGAUAGUGGCAGUCAUAGUAAACAAUGUAUACUAUUAUUGCAAAACAAAUAAUACUGAGAUGAUUAUUACCAAGAACACUGUAAAUAUACGUAGAUGUAUAAAACUUUGAAAGUUGCAUUAUACUUGCAAAUUAUCUUAUUUUAAUGUUAUUCAUCUGUGGCAGUCUGCAAAUAAAUUAUAUAAAAUAUA